AACGAACGCUGGCGGCGUGCCUAACACAUGCAAGUCGAACGAGACCUUCGGGUCUAGUGGCGCACGGGUGCGUAACGCGUGGGAAUCUGCCCUUUGCUUCGGAAUAACAGUUAGAAAUGACUGCUAAUACCGGAUGAUGUCUUCGGACCAAAGAUUUAUCGGCAAAGGAUGAGCCCGCGUAGGAUUAGGUAGUUGGUGGGGUAAAGGCCUACCAAGCCGACGAUCCUUAGCUGGUCUGAGAGGAUGAUCAGCCACACUGGGACUGAGACACGGCCCAGACUCCUACGGGAGGCAGCAGUGGGGGAAUAUUGGACAAUGGGCGAAAGCCUGAUCCAGCAAUGCCGCGUGAGUGAUGAAGGCCUUCGGUCGUAAGCUCUUUUACCAGGGAUGAUAAUGACAGUACCUGGAGAAUAAGACUCCGGCUAACUCCGUGCCAGCAGCCGCGGUAA
rnacentral:rRNA from 1 species